GGCCGCCUCGCCUCGGCAGGAAGCGCCCAGCCUGAUUUCCUACAAGUGUUUGUCAGAAGGAGGGGGUUUGUCUGCGUGCAGAGCAAGAGCUGGAGGAGCUUAACCCCUUGCAAGCCCUCCGCAGUCAGCGCUGCCCAGGAAAGGACUCAGGGAACAAACUCCUGACGUCCUGGGCUUGGGAUCAUCUCAGCCCAGGCCCUGCAGCUCUGACUCUGCCAAUGUGCAACCUGAAUCUCAGGGAGACCGUGGUGAUUCCUGCCAUCUCAACCCACCGUCCUCACCCCGAGGUGGUCCUGCAGCCAGAGUGGGAUGUUCGGGGCAGCAUGGAGGUGUGAACCUGGCGGAUCAGGCAACCUCCAGAUGUCAGCUCCAGCGUGCCCUCCUUGGGGACUCCCCAUUUGGAACUAUAUUUCAUAUGUGAUUAUUUGAUUAACAUCUGUCUCUUCACUCAGUUGGGAGCUCUGUGAGGCUCUCAUCAUCAUAUCCCCAGGACCCAGCACACAGGCCCUGAUAUACAAUAGAAAUACAAUAAAUAUAUCCUGGAUGAUCCACUCAACCUAGCUACUUGCCCAAGCCUGACUCAUAGCCCUCAUAACAACCCAAUGAGGCUGAUGUGACAACCCCAUUUCACAGUUGGGUAAACAGAGGCCCCUAGAGCCCAAGCAGCUUGCCCAAGGUCACAAAGGUGAUGAGCUGCAGUAGAGUUUCAAACACACAAAGACCUGGCUUCUAAUAACCAAGCUUGGUGCUCACAACAUUGCAGCCCGCAGAGAUAAUUAAUACCUGUGCACAAUAAAAUCGAGAGUGGAGCUUCUUACCAACUAAUUGCAAUUCACAAAGCCAAUGUUCCAAUUUUAUAGUGAGGCCCUGGUUCCACACAGAGCCUUUUGGUUUCCCAAAAUGCUUUCUUCUCCUUUAUAGCACUAGAUGCUCAAGAACAGAACGUUUAAGUGGGGAGAACACGAGUAUUAUUCCAUUGUAUAGGUGAGGACACUGAGGCCCAGAGAAGAGAAGAGAAGAGAUUCGUUCCUGGUCACCCAGAAAAGAAACAACAACAAAAACCUCUGACUCCUGGCCAGGUGCAGUGGCUCACGCCUGUAAUCCCAGCACUUUGGGAGGCUGAGGUGGGCGGAUCACCUGAGGUCAGGAGUUCGACACCAGCCUGGGCAACAUGAUGAAACCCCACCUCUACUAAAAAUACAAAAAUUAGCCAGGUGUGGUGGCAGGUGCCUGUAAUCCUCCCUGUAAUACUUGGGAGGCUGAGGCAGGACAAUCACUUGAACCUGGGAGGCGGAGGUUGCAGUGAGUCGAGAUUGCACCAUUGCACUCCAGCCUGGGCAACAGAGCAAGACUCUGUCUCAAAAAAAAAAAAAAAAAAAAACACCAAAAACAAAAACAACAAAAAAAACCUCUUACUCCUACUGCCAGGGCUUGAUGACUUUCACCCUUUUACCAGCAACAGUCAUGUGCAUGGCUGUGUCUGCAGAACCCUGCCAGCCCUUCCCACGAGCCUGAGGCACAAGAAUCACUUGAACCUGGGAGGCGGAGGUUGCAGUGAACCGAGAUCAUGUCACUG